rnacentral:rRNA from 1 species
AUGGCCAAGUCGGGGAAGCGCCGGACGAGGACCUCGCCGCCGGCCACCGCCCUCGCCUCCACAAUCACCACGUCCUCCACCUCAUCCUCCACAAACCGCGAAGAAACCGCCUCGCCAUCGCCGGACAUCCUACCGGAGCUGAUCGCAUUGAUCGCGAGCCGGCUGACGACCCUCGAGGACUUCUUCGCCCUCGUUGCCGCCUGCCGCGCCUACCGAGCUCACCUCCCGUUGUCAUCGUCCAACCUCGCCUCGCAGGGUCCGCUCCUCCUCAUCCACCAGAAGGCCUCUGCCUCGGAAGCGCUCUACCACGUCCCCCUCCGCCGCAUCCUCCGCUUCCGCCUCCCGCGCACCCCCGUGGCGGUGGCCCAUGGACGCCGCAGCCCCACCUGCUUCAGCCGGCUCUUCACCCCCAAAGAAGUCACCCUCACCUGCUUCCACUCCUUCGGCUGCCGUGUCGCCAUCAGAAACAUCUUUACCGCCAGCCGCCCCGAGUUUCGCAUCUGCCAUCUCCUCACAGGCGAGCGAGCCCGCCUGCCCCAUCCCCCUACACCCAUUGGAUGUGUUCUCUUUUCUGGCGACUUAGUCCUCGCCUUCAUGCCACGGCACCGUUACAUCUCCUACUGCUGUAUUGGGGAUGCUCAGUGGCAAGUGGCGUGGUGCGACGAAGGCUACCACCCUUACAGUCUGAUGUUCGUGAAAGGAACCCUCUACGCGUUGAUUUAUCCAAAUUACCGUCUUGCUGUUGUCGAGCUUAACAACAAUUCUAUGGUAUUGUCGUUUCUUGAGGAUGAACUUAGCGCACGGACAGUUCCAGAUAGUUCGGUGGCCUUGCUCGCAGAGUGCCAUGGUGAGAUAUUGCUAAUUGUCAGAACCAAGUUGUACCAUGUUUUCAAGUGGCAAUCCGGGGAGAAGAAGUGGGCGAGCACUGACAGCCUUGGUGGUUGUAGCUUGUUCUUUAAUAGGCAUGAGUUUGCUGGUUGCCUUGGUCCAGAUCAUCCAGGAGUUCGAAGAGACUGCUUGUACUUUACUGGAAACUUUGGGUACUGGAGUGAGUAUUCUUUGGUUGAUAGAUCUUUGCAUGAAAUUCUUGCCGACUACCCAGGGAGACCACUACGGGAGGAUUGUUUUCCACUGGCUUGGGUCCUUCCAAGCAUUUGUUGA